rnacentral:rRNA from 1 species
AAGAACGCAGCGAAAUGCGAUACGUAGUGUGAAUUGCAGAAUUCCGCGAAUCAUCGAGUCUUUGAACGCAAGUUGCGCCCGAGGCUUGUCCAAGGGCAUUUCCGCUAGAGCGUCACCGCGCCCCCCACCGAUCCGCUCCCGCCGGGGAGUCGGGUCGAGUGGAAGUGGCCAUCCCUGUGGGCCUUCCGACUUUGCAAAAAGAGGAAGGAGUUGAGGGUUGGCUGAAAUGGAGGGAAUCGGGCCGCCGUGGUGACACAGUCCGCGAUCGGGUGAUUUUCGGGCUCCUCCGUGAGUCCGGAAUUUUUCUAAGUGCGUGGCUGCGUCCCCCAGUCGGUCGUUGUGUUACCUCAUGCAGGUCGAGCGCGCCCCCGCGGCGCGCGUCACGCAUCAGACCUCUAAUCGGAAAAGACUACCCGCUGAGUUUAAGCAUAUCAAUAAGC